rnacentral:rRNA from 1 species
UACAGAGGUCCCAAGCGUUGUUCGGAUUCACUGGGUUUAAAGGGUGCGUAGGCGGGCAGGUAAGUCAGUGGUGAAAUCUCCAAGCUUAACUUGGAAACUGCCGUUGAUACUAUCUGUCUUGAAUACUGUGGAGGUGAGCGGAAUAUGUCAUGUAGCGGUGAAAUGCUUAGAUAUGACAUAGAACACCAAUUGCGAAGGCAGCUCACUACACGAAUAUUGACUCUGAGGCACGAAAGCGUGGGGAUCAAACAGG